rnacentral:rRNA from 1 species
GACGAACGCUGGCGGCGUGCUUAACACAUGCAAGUCGAACGAGAGCGUAGAGAAAGCUUGCUUUUUCUACGAUCUAGUGGCAAACGGGUGAGUAACGCGUAAACAACCUGCCCUACGGAUGGGGACAACAGCUGGAAACGGCUGCUAAUACCGAAUACGUUCCGAAAGUCGCAUGACUAUCGGAAGAAAGGAUGGCCUCUAUUUAUAAGUUAUCGCCGGAGGAGGGGUUUGCGUCUGAUUAGCUAGUUGGAGGGGUAACGGCCCACCAAGGCGACGAUCAGUAGCCGGUCUGAGAGGAUGAACGGCCACAUUGGAACUGAGACACGGUCCAGACUCCUACGGGAGGCAGCAGUGGGGAAUCUUCCGCAAUGGGCGAAAGCCUGACGGAGCAACGCCGCGUGAGUGAAGACGGCCUUCGGGUUGUAAAGCUCUGUUAUACGGGACGAAUAAUCU